rnacentral:rRNA from 1 species
UGCGGUUAGACUGAGCCCUUUGUGUAUAAUAAGGGGUGCUUAUUAUAUUAUAACCUUGUCUUAAUUGGUAGAAAACAAAAAUAUGCUAUAUCAAUAUAAUAAGCAAAAAGCAAGUAAUAAAAUAGGAUUAGAGACCCUAGUAUUUUUGUAGGCUAUACCUUAUUAUUAAGCUUAAAAUAAGAAUAUUUGGCGGCUCUAAGUUAUUAGAGGGGCUUGUUAAUAAACGAUAACCCGCGAUUAUUUUUACUUAAUUUAAUUUUGUAUACCUUCAUAUAGAUUAUCUUUUAUAGUCAAUAAUUAUAAAAAAUAGAUCAAGGUGCAGAAACUUUUAAGCUAUAUUAGCCACAAUACUUACUAGUAAACGAAGAAUUAAGCUAUCAGGCGGAUUUAAUUUUAAUUAUUAUAUUUAUGAAUUACUCCUAAAGGUCAGAUC